AUUGAACGCUGGCGGCAGGCUUAACACAUGCAAGUCGAGCGGUAACAUUUCUAGCUUGCUAGAAGAUGACGAGCGGCGGACGGGUGAGUAAUACUUAGGAAUCUACCUAGUAGUGGGGGAUAGCACGGGGAAACUCGUAUUAAUACCGCAUACGACCUACGGGAGAAAGGGGGCAACUUGUUGCUCUCGCUAUUAGAUGAGCCUAAGUCGGAUUAGCUAGAUGGUGGGGUAAAGGCCUACCAUGGCGACGAUCUGUAGCUGGUCUGAGAGGAUGAUCAGCCACACCGGAACUGAGACACGGUCCGGACUCCUACGGGAGGCAGCAGUGGGGAAUAUUGGACAAUGGGGGAAACCCUGAUCCAGCCAUGCCGCGUGUGUGAAGAAGGCCUUUUGGUUGUAAAGCACUUUAAGCAGUGAAGAAGACUCCGUGGUUAAUACCCAUGGACGAUGACAUUAGCUGCAGAAUAAGCACCGGCUAACUCUGUGCCAG
rnacentral:rRNA from 1 species